rnacentral:rRNA from 1 species
AACCAGCACCUCAAGUGGUCAGGAGGAUUAUUGGGCCUAAAGCAUCCGUAGCCGGCUCUGUUAGUUUUCGGUUAAAUCUAUGUGCUCAACGCAUGGGCUGCCGAAAAUACUGCAGAGCUAGGGAGUGGGAGAGGUAGACGGUACUCGGUAGGAAGGGGUAAAAUCCUUUGAUCUAUUGAUGACCACCUGUGGCGAAGGCGGUCUACCAGAACACGUUCGACGGUGAGGGAUGAAAGCUGGGGGAGCAAACCGG